AGCUUGAAAUUUCCUAAAUAUUUAUUUCAGAUUAAGGUUAGAAAUAUGUUUGUCUAGUAGUGUUAUGAUGGGUAUAUUCGGGAAAUCUAAACCUGUAGAUCCUAAGGAGCAGGUGAAUGAAUGGACCAAGAAAAUACGAAAGGAAGGAUACAAUAUAGAUCGACAGAUUAAUGGGAUCAAACGUGAGGAAUUAAAGGUAACCAGAUCCCUGAAAGAGGCAGCUAAGAAGGGAGAUAAAGAUGUUUGUCUCAUCUUAGCUAAGGAGGUUGUUCAUGCGAGGAAAUCUGUUAAUAAACUCUAUACUGCUAAGGCGAACCUUAAUUCAAUACAGCUACAGAUGAAGGGUCAGCUUGCUACACUCAAGGUGACUGGAGCCCUUCAAACCUCUACGGAAGUGAUGAAAUCUAUGCAGUCCUUAGUUAGGCUACCAGAGAUACAGAAAACUAUGCAGGAACUAUCUAGAGAGAUGAUGAAGGCAGGUAUAUUGGAGGAGAUGGUUGAGGAUACUAUGGAAGGUUUAGAGGGGGAGGAAGAGGAGGAUGCUGCCCAGGAGGAGAUAGAUAAGAUCCUCCUAGAGUUGACUGCUGGAGCUCUUGGUACUGCUCCAGAUGCUUUGAAAGAUACCCUACCUGCGAGCCGGGACGAGGUUCCUGAACCCGAGGAGGAUGAUGUUGAAGACGACCUAGAGGAGAUGAAGAGUAGACUAGAGGCUCUCAGAAGUUAAUUUAUCUUUCCAAAGUUGAUGAGCUAGAUAUUUACUGGAACCCAUACCAAGGAUUCACACAAAUCCUCAAUAAUUUGUCCCGAGCUGGGAACUUUAGAAUGUUCCCAGCUCUGCUUUGUUCAAAUAGGACAUCUUAAAAUAAGGUGGUUGCCUAGUAAAAGAAAAUUAUCUUGAUUCUAUUUUGAAUAUUCAAUAUUUGUUAAAUAAUAUUGUUCUGCUGUAUGUUGCAAACAGGUGAACUCUACUAAACCAAUACCAUAAUCUGUAUGCAUAUAUGACCUGCUUUAUAUAACAUUAUUAUACUAACAUCACAUAAUUGAUAGUUUAAAGUUUUAUGUAUCACGCGCUAUAUUAUUAACGUGACGAUUUAAAUCUGAAAAGAAAGAAAAUUAUCAGCUUAUAGAGAAUAUUUAGAAAGGAAGAAGUUCAAACAGAAUUGUUCAAGGCAAUGCUUUUGGAAUCUUAUUAGUUAAAAAGUCACUUAUUCUAUGUAAAUUCUACUUUUUUGGAUAUUAGUUCCAUUGAAUACGUUGAGGGAUAUUUUUACAGUUUUUUUAUUGCAAAUUACCAAAUCCCAAGCGAUGUUUGUAAUAAAGAGAAUUUUUCCUUUGUCAAUAUUUUCCUAAAUUUUUCUCUGGACAUUUUCCUUUUAUCUUGAGUAUUCUCUUAGGUUUAUAUAAACAUCUUUUUUUCAAUUUUUGGAAUAUUUUUAAUUGUAAAAUUUGCCUUGCACCUGUUUCUUUCAGAAAUUAAUCGUUAAACAUUUUCUCAAAUGAAAAUGAAAGAUUUUAUUUUAGUCUCUGACAGUAGUAGUAAAGUAUAAGUUAAUGCGCCCUAAAUAAAUGUGUUAAACAAAAAUGUUAAGGUCCGUAUGUAUUGAAUCGAGAAUUUAGGAAAGAAUUUAUAUAUUUAACUAGUUCUGGUAUAAUACGAUACUUUUAAACUUUGAGUAAUAAUAACACCAAUUUUAAAUUCAUGUCAAAUUGUAUUAAUUGAAAAUUAAAAUUUCCAUUUUGCUGUAUUUAUUGUAGUAUUCUUCAAACGUUAUUGUGAUAUUAUAUUUGGCAAAUUGAAUUAAACUCUACAAUUCCAAAUUUGUAUUGUUCAUGGAGGGAGGGAACCCCCGGACGCUAUGAGCCUCCACUAUGCAGACAUGAGUCUCUCAGAUUUGCCAGGCAGACCGAACCUCCGCUAUGCAGAAAUGAGCAUGCGCAAUACAUCAAAGUAUGCCUUUGUAAUACAGAAAGUUUUUUAAAACUUGUGUUGCAAGUUUAAAUAAAAGAUUUUUUUCAA